CCCUUGAAUAUUAUACCUUAGUUGCUUUGGCAGGCCGGGGCAACCCCCGGGGCUUCGCCUUGGUGUGCCUGCCAAAGAAACAAACUCUGUUUUUAGUGAUGUCUGAGUACUAUAUAAUAGUUAAAACUUUCAACAACGGAUCUCUUGGUUCUGGCAUCGAUGAAAACGCAGCGAAAUGCGAUAAGUAAUGUGAAUUGCAGAAUUCAUUGAAUCAUCGAAUCUUUGAACGCACAUUGCGCCCCGUGGUAUUCCGCGGGGCAUGCCUGUUCGAGCGUCAUUUCAACCCAUCAGCUUCGCUUGGUCUUGGGGCCUGCAUUCCGCACCCUAAACCCAGUGGCGGUGCCUCCGAACUCUGACGAAUAAUUCUUCUCGCUAAGGGUCUCGGUGGUGUCUUGCCAGACCCCCAAUUUUUUACAGG
rnacentral:misc_RNA from 1 species